AUUGAACGCUAGCGGGAUGCCUUACACAUGCAAGUCGAACGGAGUGGCGAACGGGUGAGUAAUGUAUCGGAACGUGCCCAGUAGCGGGUGAUAACUACGCGAAAGAGUAGCUAAUACCGCAUACUAUUGGAGCAGCCGAUAUUGGAUUAGCUAGUUGGUGGGGUAAAGGCUCACCAAGGCGACAAUCCGUAGCUGGUGUGAGAGGACGACCAGCCACACGGGGCGUGAGACACUGCACAGACUCCUACGGGAGGCAGCGGUGGGGAAUUUUGGACAAUGGGGGAAAGCCUGAUCCAGCCAUCCCGGUUGUGCGAUGAAGGCUUUCGGGUUGUAAAGCACUUUUGGCAGGAAAGCGGUACCUGCAGAAUAAGCACCGGCUAACUACGUACCAGCAGCCGCGGUAAUUC
rnacentral:rRNA from 1 species